ACUUCGGUGGGGAUUAGUGGCGAACGGGUGAGUAACACGUGGGCAAUCUGCCCUGCACUCUGGGACAAGCCCUGGAAACGGGGUCUAAUACCGGAUACUGAUCCACUUGGGCAUCCAAGUGGUUCGAAAGCUCCGGCGGUGCAGGAUGAGCCCGCGGCCUAUCAGCUUGUUGGUGAGGUAACGGCUCACCAAGGCGACGACGGGUAGCCGGCCUGAGAGGGCGACCGGCCACACUGGGACUGAGACACGGCCCAGACUCCUACGGGAGGCAGCAGUGGGGAAUAUUGCACAAUGGGCGAAAGCCUGAUGCAGCGACGCCGCGUGAGGGAUGACGGCCUUCGGGUUGUAAACCUCUUUCAGCAGGGAAGAAGCGAAAGUGACGGUACCUGCAGAAGAAGCGCCGGCUAACUACGUGCCAGCAGCCGCGGUAAUACGUAGGGCGCAAGCGUUGUCCGGAAUUAUUGGGCGUAAAGAGCUCGUAGGCGGCUUGUCACGUCGGUUGUGAAAGCCCGGGGCUUAACCCCGGGUCUGCAGUCGAUACGGGCAGGCUAGAGUUCGGUAGGGGAGAUCGGAAUUCCUGGUGUAGCGGUGAAAUGCGCAGAUAUCAGGAGGAACACCGGUGGCGAAGGCGGAUCUCUGUGCCGAUACUGACGCUGAGGAGCGAAAGCGUGAGAGCGAACAGGAUUAGAUACCGUGGAGUCACGCCGUACA
rnacentral:rRNA from 1 species